CCCUUAGAUGUUCUGGGCCGCACGCGCGCUACACUGAUGCAUUCAACGAGUCUAAAACCUGGUCUGAUAGGGCUGGGUAAUCUUUUGAAAGUGCAUCGUGAUUGGGAUAGAUGAUUGCAAUUCUUCAUCUUCAACGAGGGAUGCCUAGUAAACGCAAGUCAUCAGCUUGCAUUGAUUACGUCCCUGCCCUUUGUACACACCGCCCGUCGCUCCUACCGAUUGAAUGAUCCGAUGAAUACCAUGGAUUGAGAGUACGAAUGGGUUCGCUCAUUUCUGCUGCUCGAGAAGUGGAGUAAAUCUUAUCAUUUAGAGGAAGGAGAAGUCGUAACA
rnacentral:rRNA from 1 species